rnacentral:rRNA from 1 species
UACGAAGGGGGCUAGCGUUGCUCGGAUUUACUGGGCGUAAAGGGCGCGUAGGCGGCUUGUCAAGUCAGUUGUGAAAUCUCUGGGCUUAACCCAGAACGGCCAAGUGAAACUGACAUGCUAGAGUGCAGAAGGGGCAAUCGGAAUUCUUGGUGUAGCGGUGAAAUGCGUAGAUAUCAGGAGGAACACCGGUGGCGAAGGCGGAUCUCUGGGCCUUACCUGACGCUCAGGCGCGAAAGCUAGGGGAGCGAACAGG